rnacentral:rRNA from 1 species
GUGCCAGCAGCCGCGGUAAUACAGAGACUGCAAGCGUUAUUCGGAUUCACUGGGCGUAAAGGGUGCGCAGGCGGCCGUGUGUGUCAGGUGUGAAAGCCCGGGGCUUAACCCCGGAAUUGCGCCUGAAACUACAUGGCUAGAGCAUUGGAGAGGGUAGCAGAAUUCACGGUGUAGCAGUGAAAUGCGUAGAUAUCGUGAGGAAUACCAGAGGCGAAGGCGGCUACCUGGACAAUUGCUGACGCUCAGGCACGAAAGCGUGGGGAGCAAAAGGGAUUAGAAACCCCCGUAGUCC